rnacentral:rRNA from 1 species
UACGGAGGGUGCAAGCGUUAUCCGGAUUUACUGGGUUUAAAGGGUGUGUAGGCGGACUUUUAAGUCAGCGGUGAAAUCUCCGGGCUCAACCCGGAAACUGCCAUUGAUACUAUUAGUCUUGAAUCUUGUUGAGGUAGGCGGAACGGGUCAUGUAGCGGUGAAAUGCAUAGAUAUGACCCGGAACACCGAUUGCGAAGGCAGCCUACUAAGCAAGUAUUGACGCUGAGGCACGGAAAGCGUGGGGAAUCAAACAGG